rnacentral:misc_RNA from 1 species
ACGAGUUUGAAAUGGGUUGUAGCUGGUCUUUCGAGACAUGUGCUCGCCCUGCUCAUCCACAUACCACUGUGCACCUUCUGUGGCUAGCGUGGCGCUUGAUCGAGCUGAAAGGCUUUGGUCGCGUCUUGCUGCUGCGUCUUUACAUACACUUUAAAAGUCUAGAAUGUCUAUUUGCGAUAAAACGCAUCUAAUA